AUUGAACGCUGGCGGCAUGCUUUACACAUGCAAGUCGAACGGUAACAGGUCUUCGGCUGCUGACGAGUGGCGAACGGGUGCGUAAUACAUCGGAACGUGCCUAGUAGUUGGGGAUAACUACUCGAAAGAGUAGCUAAUACCUCAUGAGAUCUACGGAUGAAAGCAGGGGACCUUCGGGCCUUGUGCUACUAGAGCGGCUGAUGGCAGAUUAGGUAGUUGGUGGGGUAAAGGCUUACCAAGCCUGCGAUCUGUAGCUGGUCUGAGAGGACGACCAGCCACACUGGGACUGAGACACGGCCCAGACUCCUACGGGAGGCAGCAGUGGGGAAUUUUGGACAAUGGGCGAAAGCCUGAUCCAGCAAUGCCGCGUGCAGGAUGAAGGCCCUCGGGUUGUAAAAUGCUUUUGUACGGAACGAAAAGCCUGGGGCUAAUAUCCCCGGGUCAUGACGGUACCGUAAGAAUAAGCACCGGCUAACUACGUG
rnacentral:rRNA from 1 species